GACGAACGCUGGCGGCGUGCCUAACACAUGCAAGUCGAACGGUCUGGUGGCUAGCACCGAUACUUUAAAGUAAAGCGCAUUGAUUAGCGCAUAAGGGUGAACGUAGAGAACCCUUUACGCAUUAAAUAAGUGCCAUACCUUGAAGAAUGGGUGCUAGACAUCAGAUAGUGGCGAACGGGUGAGUAACGCGUAGAUAACCUGCCUUUUAGAUGGGGACAACACUGGGAAACUAGUGCUAAUACCGAAUGUUGUAUUUUGAUUGCAUGAUUGAGAUACUAAAGAUGGCCUCUAUUUAUAAGCUAUCACUAAAAGAUGGGUCUGCGUCUGAUUAGCUAGUUGGUGAGGUAAUGGCUCACCAAGGCGACGAUCAGUAAGCCGGUCUGAGAGGAUGAACGGCCACACUGGGACUGAGACACGGCCCAGACUCCUACGGGAGGCAGCAGUGGGGAAUCUUCCGCAAUGGACGAAAGUCUGACGGAGCAACG
rnacentral:rRNA from 1 species